rnacentral:rRNA from 1 species
UCGAGCGGACAGAUGGGAGCUUGCUCCCUGAUGUUAGCGGCGGACGGGUGAGUAACACGUGGGUAACCUGCCUGUAAGACUGGGAUAACUCCGGGAAACCGGGGCUAAUACCGGAUGGUUGUUUGAACCGCAUGGUUCAGACAUAAAAGGUGGCUUCGGCUACCACUUACAGAUGGACCCGCGGCGCAUUAGCUAGUUGGUGAGGUAACGGCUCACCAAGGCGACGAUGCGUAGCCGACCUGAGAGGGUGAUCGGCCACACUGGGACUGAGACACGGCCCAGACUCCUACGGGAGGCAGCAGUAGGGAAUCUUCCGCAAUGGACGAAAGUCUGACGGAGCAACGCCGCGUGAGUGAUGAAGGUUUUCGGAUCGUAAAGCUCUGUUGUUAGGGAAGAACAAGUGCCGUUCAAAUAGGGCGGCACCUUGACGGUACCUAACCAGAAAGCCACGGCUAACUACGUGCCAGCAGCCGCGGUAAUACGUAGGUGGCAAGCGUUGUCCGGAAUUAUUGGGCGUAAAGGGCUCGCAGGCGGUUUCUUAAGUCUGAUGUGAAAGCCCCCGGCUCAACCGGGGAGGGUCAUUGGAAACUGGGGAACUUGAGUGCAGAAGAGGAGAGUGGAAUUCCACGUGUAGCGGUGAAAUGCGUAGAGAUGUGGAGGAACACCAGUGGCGAAGGCGACUCUCUGGUCUGUAACUGACGCUGAGGAGCGAAAGCGUGGGGAGCGAACAGGAUUAGAUACCCUGGUAGUCCACGCC